AAAGAGAUCCCAACUUUCUUCUUGGCUUAGGAAACGAAGUUUAUGAACAAAACCUCUGUCGUCUGCUCUUUCAGCGACAUCCUCUUUGCGCGUGGUAAUAAUGACUCUGCUGCCAUUCUUGCCAUCCGGGAAUGCUCUUUUCAAACUCUCCCAUGCUUCUCUCUGCCAUACAUCAUCAACCACCACAAGGUAUUUGCGUUCUUUUAAUAGAUCACGAAGAUAAAUUUCUAGAUCUCCUUCUGUCAUCCUUUCCAACAAAUCUAGAGUUUCCUUGGUGCGACCUUGGACGGAUUUUAUGAUAUUCCUAAGAAGAUCCAUUGUGUUGUACUCUUGAGAGACACAUAUCCAAGCGCGUGUAGGGAAGCUUGAGAC